UAAUACGUAGGGGGCGAGCGUUGUCCGGAGUUACUGGGCGUAAAGCGCGCGCAGGCGGUUCGCCAAGUCUGGAGUGACAGUUCCCGGCUUAACUGGGAAAGGCCUUCGGAAACUGGCGAACUUGAGGGGCUUAGAGGGAGACGGAAUUCCAGGUGGAGCGGUGAAAUGCGUAGAGAUCUGGAGGAACACCAAAGGCGAAGGCAGUCUCCUGGAGGCUUCCUGACGCUCAGGCGCGAAAGCCAGGGGAGCGAACGGGAUUAGAUACCCCGGUAGUCCUGGCCGUAAACGAUGACCACCAGGCGUGGGAGGUAUCGACCCCUUCCGUGCCGGCGCUAACGCUUUGAGUGGUCCGCCUGGGGAGUACGGUCGCAAGAUU
rnacentral:rRNA from 1 species